rnacentral:rRNA from 1 species
GACGAACGCUGGCGGCGUGCCUAAUACAUGCAAGUCGAACGAGCGCGACCGGUGCUUGCACUGGUCAAUCUAGUGGCGAACGGGUGAGUAACACGUGGGUAACCUGCCCAUCAGAGGGGGAUAACAUCCGGAAACGGAUGCUAAAACCGCAUAGGUCUUCGAACCGCAUGGUUUGAAGAGGAAAAGAGGCGCAAGCUUCUGCUGAUGGAUGGACCCGCGCUGCAUUAGCUAGUUGGUGAGGUAACGGCUCACCAAGGCCGUGAUGCAUAGCCGACCUGAGAGGGUGAUCGGCCACAUUGGGACUGAGACACGGCCCAAACUCCUACGGGAGGCAGCAGUAGGGAAUCUUCCGCAAUGGACGCAAGUCUGACGGAGCAACGCCGCGUGAGUGAAGAAGGUUUUCGGAUCGUAAAACUCUGUUGUUAGAGAAGAACAAGUGCUAGAGUAACUGUUAGCGCCUUGACGGUAUCUAACCAGAAAGCCACGGCUAACUACGUG